AACGAACGCUGGCGGCAGGCUUAACACAUGCAAGUCGUGGGGCAGCACGGGGUAGCAAUACUCUGGUGGCGACCGGCGCACGGGUGAGUAACGCGUAUGCAACCUACCCAGUACAGGGGGAUAGCCCGGAGAAAUUCGGAUUAAUACCCCAUAAUGAUAUUAAGAGGCAUCUUUUAAUAUUUAAAGCUUCGGCGGUACUGGAUGGGCAUGCGUAAGAUUAGCUAGUUGGUAGGGUAACGGCCUACCAAGGCUCCGAUCUUUAGGGGUCCUGAGAGGGUGAUCCCCCACACUGGUACUGAGACACGGACCAGACUCCUACGGGAGGCAGCAGUGAGGAAUAUUGGUCAAUGGGCGCAAGCCUGAACCAGCCAUCCCGCGUGAAGGAAGAAGGCGCUAUGCGUUGUAAACUUCUUUUCCGGAGGAAUAAAAUCUUGUACGCGUACAGGACUGAAGGUACUCCGGGAAUAAGCAUCGGCUAACUCCGUGCCAGCCGCCGCAGUAAAAC
rnacentral:rRNA from 1 species